rnacentral:rRNA from 1 species
GAUGAACGCUAGCGGGAGGCUUAACACAUGCAAGUCGUGGGGCAGCACGGGGUAGCAAUACUCUGGUGGCGACCGGCGCACGGGUGAGUAACGCGUAUGCAACCUACCCAGUACAGGGGGAUAGCCCGGAGAAAUUCGGAUUAAUACCCCAUAAUGAUAUAGAGAGGCAUCUUUUUAUAUUUAAAGCUUCGGCGGUACUGGAUGGGCACGCGUAAGAUUAGCUAGUUGGUAGGGUAACGGCCUACCAAGGCUCCGAUCUUUAGGGGUCCUGCGAGGGUGAUCCCCCACACUGGUACUGAGAAACGGACCAGACUCCUACGGGAGACAGCAGUGAGGAAUACUGGUCAAUGGGCGCAAGCCUGACCCAGCCAUCCCGCGGGAAGGAAGAAGGCGCUAUGCGUUGUAAACUUCUUUUCCGGAGGAAUAAAAUCUUGUACGUGUACAGGACUGAAGGUACUCCGGGAAUAAGCAUCGGCUAACUCCGUGCCAGCCGCCGCAGUAAAAC